GAUGAACGCUGGCGGCGUGCCUAAUACAUGCAAGUCGAGCGAAUGGAUUAAGAGCUUGCUCUUAUGAAGUUAGCGGCGGACGGGUGAGUAACACGUGGGUAACCUACCCAUAAGACUGGGAUAACUCCGGGAAACCGGGGCUAAUACCGGAUAACAUUUUGAACCGCAUGGUUCGAAAUUGAAAGGCGGCUUCGGCUGUCACUUAUGGAUGGACCCGCGUCGCAUUAGCUAGUUGGUGAGGUAACGGCUCACCAAGGCAACGAUGCGUAGCCGACCUGAGAGGGUGAUCGGCCACACUGGGACUGAGACACGGCCCAGACUCCUACGGGAGGCAGCAGUAGGGAAUCUUCCGCAAUGGACGAAAGUCUGACGGAGCAACGCCGCGUGAGUGAUGAAGGCUUUCGGGUCGUAAAACUCUGUUGUUAGGGAGGAACAAGUGCUAGUUGAAUAAGCUGGCACCUUGACGGUACCUAACCAGAAAGCCACGGCUAACUACGUGCCAGCCGCCGCUGUAA
rnacentral:rRNA from 1 species